GACGAACGCUGGCGGCGUGCCUAACACAUGCAAGUCGUACGGAGUUCACUUGGAAGCUUGCUUCCGAGUGAACUUAGUGGCGGACGGGUGAGUAACGCGUGAGCAACCUGCCUCACAGAGGGGGAUAACACACGGAAACGUGUGCUAAUACCGCAUAAUCCGAUGAAGCGGCAUCGCUUUAUCGGCAAAGGAGCAAUCCGCUGUGAGAUGGGCUCGCGUCCGAUUAGAUAGUUGGUGAGGUAACGGCUCACCAAGUCUACGAUCGGUAGCCGGACUGAGAGGUUGGACGGCCACAUUGGGACUGAGACACGGCCCAAACUCCUACGGGAGGCAGCAGUGAGGGAUAUUGCACAAUGGGCGAAAGCCUGAUGCAGCGACGCCGCGUGAGGGAUGACGGUCUUCGGAUUGUAAACCUCUGUCCUUGGUGAAGAAGAAAGUGACGGUAGCCAAGGAGGAAGCCACGGCUAACUACGUGCCAGCAGACCCG
rnacentral:rRNA from 1 species